AAAAUCCGUCGACUUUAAAAAUCGUGAGGGUUCAAGUCCCUCUAUCCCCAAAAAGCCUAGUUGACUCCCCAACUAUUUAUUCUAUCCCC
rnacentral:tRNA from 1 species